rnacentral:rRNA from 1 species
CGGGGUGAGUAAUGCUUGGGAAUCUGGCUUAUGGAGGGGGAUAACUACGGGAAACUGUAGCUAAUACCGCGUAGCGUCGAGAGACGAAAGUGCGGGACCGAAAGGCCGCAUGCCAUGAGAUGAGCCCAAGUGGGAUUAGGUAGUUGGUGGGGUAAAGGCCUACCAAGCCUGCGAUCUCUAGCUGGUCUGAGAGGAUGGCCAGCCACACUGGAACUGAGACACGGUCCAG